AACAAUUUCAAGCUUAGAGGGCAAAUUCUCUCACCUAGGAAGGCACCCUGGGUGACAUCAGACAGUGUAAACAAAGGCACCAGAACAUUUACAGUAAUAAAGGACAAAAAAGUCAAUAAAAACGUUGCAUCAGUCAAAGUGUGAUUGGACCAGAAGAUUUAGCCAUCGAUAUCAGUCGGAUU